AGGGGCACAGGCCUGACCUUCUGUAUCACGAGAAUUUUGGUUGGAAGUAAAAGCAAAUCCUAUUUUUUGCUUAAUGCUGGCCUUGGAAAUGAAGUCCAAGUGGUGUGGCUGGCUUCAGAUAAGGCUUCAUCAGGAACUCUAAAUGAUGUCAUCAAGACCCGGUGUUCCCUGUUGUCUUUGGCCUCAGCUCUUCUCCAGAAUCACUGCGAAAGUUGAGGCUCUAGGUUGAGCUUUUCGGAGCGUCUCCGUAAGUCACACUGAGGAACUGGGCCACCAAGAGAGCGGCUGUGUCUUCUGCAAUCAGAAGGCACUGCCAACGAUGACUUCAGAAGACACCCCAGUCGUGAAACCGCUCUUCCAGCAGCUCCAGAAGCACGGUGUGCCUGACAUGAUCCAGGCACACUGGGUGCCCACGUCCUUCCUCUCAACACCCACCAAGCCAGCACCUGGACCCUUGAGUUUUGCUGACACCAUUGAGAAAAUUUCAACCUACUGAAAAAUUAGAAGAGGAAUACAAUGAGCACCUAUGAACGUUUCACCUAGAUUCGUCAACCAUUGACAUUUUGCCACAUUUGCUUUCUUUCCCUCUCUCUUACAGGAAGUUAGUUGCAAGUUUGCUGACAAUUUCCUCUGACCAGAUGAGCUAUUAUCUCACAAAAGCAAGGACGUUCUCCUCUAUUAUCACUAUUAUCACACUCAAUAAAUUUAAAUUGAUGCAAUAUUGCCUAAUAU